AAGCGUUAUCCGGAAUUAUUGGGCGUAAAGCGUCCGCAGGCGGCCCUUCAAGUCUGCUGUUAAAACGUGGAGCUUAACUCCAUCAUGGCAGUGGAAACUGUUGGGCUUGAGUGUGGUAGGGGCAGAGGGAAUUCCCGGUGUAGCGGUGAAAUGCGUAGAUAUCGGGAAGAACACCAGUGGCGAAGGCGCUCUGCUGGGCCAUAACUGACGCUCAUGGACGAAAGCCAGGGGAGCGAAAGGGAUUAGAUACCCCUGUAGUCCUGGCCGUAAACGAUGAACACUAGGUGUCGGGGGAAUCGACCCCCUCGGUGUCGUAGCCAACGCGUUAAGUGUUCCGCCUGGGGAGUACGCACGCAAGUGUGAAACUCAAAGGAAUUGACGGGGGCCCGCACAAGCGGUGGAGUAUGUGGUUUAAUUCGAAGCAACGCGCAGAAUCUUACCAACCCUUGACAUCCUGUGCUAUAUUUAGAGAUAGAUAGUUCCCUUCGGGGACGCAGUGACAGGUGCUGCAUGGCU
rnacentral:rRNA from 1 species